UACGUAGGGGGCAAGCGUUGUCCGGAUUUAUUGGGCGUAAAGAGCGUGUAGGCGGCUAGAUAGGUCCGUUGUGAAAACUCGAGGCUCAACCUCGAGACGUCGAUGGAAACCAUCUGGCUAGAGUCCGGAAGAGGAGAGUGGAAUUCCUGGUGUAGCGGUGAAAUGCGCAGAUAUCAGGAAGAACACCAACGGCGAAGGCAGCUCUCUGGGACGUUACUGACGCUGAGACGCGAAAGCGUGGGGAGCAAACAGG
rnacentral:rRNA from 1 species